UACGGAGGGAGCUAGCGUUGUUCGGAAUUACUGGGCGUAAAGCGCGCGUAGGCGGCUUUGUAAGUUAGAGGUGAAAGCCCGGGGCUCAACCCCGGAACAGCCUUUAAGACUGCAUCGCUAGAAUCCGGGAGAGGUGAGUGGAAUUCCGAGUGUAGAGGUGAAAUUCGUAGAUAUUCGGAAGAACACCAGUGGCGAAGGCGGCUCACUGGACCGGUAUUGACGCUGAUGCACGAAAGCGUGGGGAUCAAACAGG
rnacentral:rRNA from 1 species